GUGGGGAAUUUUGGACAAUGGGCGCAAGCCUGAUCCAGCAAUGCCGCGUGCAGGAAGAAGGCCUUCGGGUUGUAAACUGCUUUUGUACGGAACGAAACGGUUCUCUCUAAUACAGGGGGCUAAUGACGGUACCGUAAGAAUAAGCACCGGCUAACUACGUGCCAGCAGCCGCGGUAAUACGUAGGGUGCAAGCGUUAAUCGGAAUUACUGGGCGUAAAGCGUGCGCAGGCGGUUUUGUAAGACAGAGGUGAAAUCCCCGGGCUCAACCUGGGAACUGCCUUUGUGACUGCAAGGCUGGAGUGCGGCAGAGGGGGAUGGAAUUCCGCGUGUAGCAGUGAAAUGCGUAGAUAUGCGGAGGAACACCGAUGGCGAAGGCAAUCCCCUGGGCCUGCACUGACGCUCAUGCACGAAAGCGUGGGGAGCAAACAGGAUUAGAAACCCCAGUAGUCC
rnacentral:rRNA from 1 species